rnacentral:rRNA from 1 species
AGAGUUUGAUCAUGGCUCAGGACGAACGCUGGCGGCGUGCCUAACACAUGCAAGUCGAGCGGGGAUAUAUGCUGGAGCGCUUCGGUGUGAAGGGAUAUAUCCUAGCGGCGGACGGGUGAGUAACGCGUGGGGAACCUGCCCUUAAGUUCGGGAUACCAACUCGAAAGGGUUGUUAAUACCGGAUGUGCUGCAUUAGCCGCAUGGCGGAUGUAGUAAAGGGGAGACCCGCUUAAGGAUGGCCCUGCGUUCCAUUAGCUAGUUGGUGGGGUAACGGCCUACCAAGGCGACGAUGGAUAGCCGGCCUGAGAGGGCGAUCGGCCACACUGGGACUGAGACACGGCCCAGACUCCUACGGGGGGCAGCAGUGGGGAAUCUUGCACAAUGGGCGGAAGCCUGAUGCAGCGACGCCGCGUGAGGGACGAAGGUCUUCGGAUCGUAAACCUCUGUCCAAAGGGACGAAGGAGUGACGGUACCUUUGGAGGAAGCCCCGGCCAACUACGUGCCAGCAGCCGCGGUAAGACGUAGGGGGCGAGCGUUGUCCGGAAUCAUUGGGCGUAAAGGGCGCGUAGGCGGUGACGUAAGUCAGGCGUGAAAGGCAUCGGCUCAACCGACGCACAUAGCCUGAUACUACGUUGCUAGAGUGCAGGAGAGGAGAGUGGAAUUCCAGGUGUAGCGGUGAAAUGCGUAGAUAUCUGGAAGAACACCAGUGGCGAAGGCGGCUCUCUGGACUGUAACUGACGCUGAGGCGCGAAAGCUGGGGGAGCAAACAGGAUUAGAUACCCUGGUAGUCCCAGCCGUAAACGAUGAACACUAGGUGUAGGGGGUAUCGACCCCUCCUGUGCCGCAGUUAACGCAGUAAGUGUUCCGCCUGGGGAGUACGGCCGCAAGGCUGAAACUCAAAUGAAUUGACGG